CCAACAGAGAGGACUACCUAGUGGCGGACGGGUGAGUAACGCGUGAGGAACCUGCCUUGGAGUGGGGAAUAACAGCCCGAAAGGGUUGCUAAUACCGCAUAAAGCAAUAUGAUCGCAUGAUUGAAUUGCCAAAGAUUUAUCGCUCUGAGAUGGCCUCGCGUCUGAUUAGCUAGUUGGCGGGGUAACGGCCCACCAAGUCGACGAUCAGUAGCCGGACUGAGAGGUUGAACGGCCACAUUGGGACUGAGAUACGGCCCAGACUCC
rnacentral:rRNA from 1 species